UACGGGGGGAGCAAGCGUUGUUCGGAUUUACUGGGCGUAAAGGGCGCGUAGGCGGCGCAACAAGUCACUUGUGAAAUCUCCGGGCUUAACCCGGAGCGGCCAAGUGAUACUGUCGUGCUAGAGUGCGGAAGGGGCUACUGGAAUUCUCGGUGUAGCGGUGAAAUGCGUAGAUAUCUGCAGGAACACCCGUGGCGAAAGCGGCGCGCUGGACCACUACUGACGCUGAGGAACGAAAGCUAGGGGAGCAAACAGG
rnacentral:rRNA from 1 species